rnacentral:rRNA from 1 species
AUGAACGCUGGCGGCGUGCCUAAUACAUGCAAGUCGAGCGAACAGACGAGGAGCUUGCUCCUCUGACGUUAGCGGCGGACGGGUGAGUAACACGUGGAUAACCUACCUAUAAGACUGGGAUAACUUCGGGAAACCGGAGCUAAUACCGGAUAAUAUAUUGAACCGCAUGGUUCAAUAGUGAAAGACGGUUUUGCUGUCACUUAUAGAUGGAUCCGCGCCGCAUUAGCUAGUUGGUAAGGUAACGGCUUACCAAGGCGACGAUGCGUAGCCGACCUAAGAGGGUGAUCGGCCACACUGGAACUGAGACACGGUCCAGACUCCUACGGGAGGCAGCAGUAGGGAAUCUUCCGCAAUGGGCGAAAGCCUGACGGAGCAACGCCGCGUGAGUGAUGAAGGUCUUCGGAUCGUAAAACUCUGUUAUUAGGGAAGAACAAAUGUGUAAGUAACUAUGCACGUCUUGACGGUACCUAAUCAGAAAGCCACGGCUAACUACGUG